GCGGGAUUGGUGAAAUGGCAUCACGAAACUUUCCCAAAGUUUAAUCGCGGGUUCGAUUCCCGUAUCCCGCUCCA
rnacentral:tRNA from 1 species